UCCCGUGUGGCUCAGUUGGUAGAGCGUGGUGUUUGCAAUGCCAGGGUUGUGGGUUUGAUUCCCACGGGGAA
rnacentral:tRNA from 1 species